UUAAUUAUUAUUUUAUUUUUGUUUCUGGUGGUUUUAUAUUUAAUUAAAAUUUUAUUUUUAGUUGUUGUUUUAGUAUUUUAAUUUGAAAGAAUUAUUUUUAUUAUAGUUUAUUUGUACUGUAUAGGUUUAAUAAUUAUUUUAUUAUAAGUAGAUUUUAUGUUGUACCUUUUGUAUCAGGGUAGAUUAAAUAUAUUUAAAUAUAUAAGUUUCUCGAAUUAAUUUGAUCUAUUUUAUUAUGUUAGUUAAAGUUGUAUAUUUAUUAAUUAUUAUUUUAUAGGUGUGAUAUGCUUUAUCGUAAAUUAAGAUAUCUAGUUUUCUAAUAAUUAAAUUUAAUUUAGCUAUUUUUAAUUAAAUAUUAUUUUUACUUAUUUAUUUAUUUAUUUAUAGUAGUAGUAUGGGGGAUUAGCUUUUUAUUAUUUUUAUAAUAUUUUUAUUUUGAUAUUAUGUAGGAUUUAUAAUGUUCAUUAUUUAUUAGUAUUUUAUAAUUUAAUAUUUUUGUUUAUUGAUUUUUUACUUAUUUAAUUAUUUAUUGGAAUUAUUUAAUUAAUUUAUUAUUAUAUUUAAUAAUGGUUUAAUUAGUAUAUUUAUUUUUAUUAUUGUUUAUUGAUAUUUAUUUAUUAAUAAGGAAUUAGGCAAAAUUAUUUAUUCGCCUGUUUAUCAAAAACAUCUUUUCUUGUUUAUUUAUUUGAGAUUUGACCUGCUCUAUGAUUUAUUUAAUGGCCGCGGUAAUUUGACCGUGCAAAGGUAGCAUAAUCAUUAGUCUAUUAAUUGUGGACUUGUAUGAAUGGUUGGACGAAAUAUUGACUGUCUCGUUAUUAAAUAUUUAAUUUAAAUUUUGAGUUAAAAUGCUUAAAUGUUUUUAUAGGACGAGAAGACCCUUUAGAUCUUAAAUUAUUUAUUUUUAAUUUUAUUUUAGUUAUUAUUUAUUUAUUAGGAUUAUUUAUUUUUUGUUGGGGUGACAUGGAGAUAUAAUUAACUCUUUAUAAUUUUGUACAAUUAUUUUUGUUUAUAUGACCUUUUAUUAAUGUUAUAAGAUUUAGAUACCUAAGGGAUAACAGCGUAAUUUUUCUUGAGAGUUCGUAUCGACAGGAGAGGUUGCGACCUCGAUGUUGGAUUAAGAUUAUAGUUAGGUGUAGGUGCUUAAUUAAUAGGUCUGUUCGACCUUUAAAUUCUUACAUGAUCUGAGUUCAAACCGGUGUGAGCCAGGUUGGUUUCUAUCCAUAAUUAUUUAUUUUUUAUUAGUACGAAAGGACCAUAUAAAACAAAUAUUUUGUUUAUUUUUAUUAUU
rnacentral:rRNA from 1 species